ACUCCAUGAAGUCGGAAUCGCUAGUAAUCGUGAAUCAGAAUGUCACGGUGAAUACGUUCCCGGGCCUUGUACACACCGCCCGUCACACCAUGGGAGUGGGCUGCACCAGAAGUAGAUAGCUUAACCUUCGGGAGGGCGUUUACCACGGUGUGGUUCAUGACUGGGGUGAAGUCGUAACAAGGUAGCCCUAGGGGAACCUGGGGCUGGAUCACCUCCUUACCUAAAGA
rnacentral:rRNA from 1 species